CUAGUGAGGAUUAAAGGCUACCGAUCGAGGAGUGUGUGAAAAGCUUGGAUCAUCGGAGUGACUAAAUCUAGUCAUCAACUUCGGCAAAGGAGAAAUCGCAUAGGAGAUCUCGUCAAGGAAUAUCGCAAAUCAGGUGAGCCUUAAUAUGGGGACUUAGGCCGGAGGGGAUUCAGAGUGGCCACGGUGAUCGCUUUUGGACCUUUAAAUAAGCAUUGGUUUUUAUUUAAUUUCCUUUAAUUAUUAUUUAUUUUUGGGAUGUAAUAAGGCCAUUUUUAACUUUUCUUUUAUUUCUUCUCGAGAUUAUUUUAUUCUUAAUAACUUUAAAAUUGGUUGAUAA